rnacentral:lncRNA from 1 species
CCCCGACCGUCCGAGCUUCCAUAAUACCAUCCGGACUUCUCCAAUAAUGGGCUCCUCCAUUCAUCUACCGGACUGCUCCAAACGCUCUCUGAGCUUCACUAUCAGUCGAUUUUCUAUAGUGAUCGACUAUUCUUCGAAUCUCAGCCUAGACUUCUUUCGGCCACGAACAAUUUUACUCUAAAUUUCUUUCGGGCUUCGUCAAUAUCCGAGCUUCUCCAAUAGUAGGACUUC